GACGAACGCUGGCGGCGUGCUUAACACAUGCAGGUCGAACGGAAAGGCCCUGCUUUUGUGGGGUGCUCGAGUGGCGAACGGGUGAGUAACACGUGAGUAACCUGCCCUUGACUUUGGGAUAACUUCAGGAAACUGGGGCUAAUACCGGAUAGGAGCUCCUGCUGCAUGGUGGGGGUUGGAAAGUUUCGGCGGUUGGGGAUGGACUCGCGGCUUAUCAGCUUGUUGGUGGGGUAGUGGCUUACCAAGGGUUUGACGGGUAGCCGGCCUGAGAGGGUGACCGGCCACAGUGGGACUGCGAUACGGCCCAGAAUCGUACGGGAGGCAGCAGUGGGGAAUAUUGCACAAUGGGCGGAAGCCUGAUGCAGCAACGCCGCGUGCGGGAUGACGGCCUUCGGGUUGUAAACCGCUUUCGCAUGUGACGAAGCGUGAGUGACGGUAAUGGGUAAAGAAGCACCGGCUAACUACGUG
rnacentral:rRNA from 1 species